rnacentral:rRNA from 1 species
AUUGAACGCUGGCGGCAGGCCUAACACGUGCAAGUCGAGCGGAUGAAGUGAGCUUGCUCCUGGAUUCAGCGGCGGACGGGUGAGUAAUGCCUAGGAAUCUGCCUGGUAGUGGGGGAUAACGUCCGGAAACGGGCGCUAAUACCGCAUACGUCCUGAGGGAGAAAGUGGGGGAUCUUCGGACCUCACGCUAUCAGAUGAGCCUAGGUCGGAUUAGCUAGUUGGUGGGGUAGAGGCCUACCAAGGCGACGAUCCGUAACUGGUCUGAGAGGAUGAUCAGUCACACUGGAACUGAGACACGGUCCAGACUCCUACGGGAGGCAGCAGUGGGGAAUAUUGGACAAUGGGCGAAAGCCUGAUCCAGCCAUGCCGCGUGUGUGAAGAAGGUCUUCGGAUUGUAAAGCACUUUAAGUUGGGAGGAAGGGCAGUAAGUUAAUACCUUGCUGUUUUGACGUUACCAACAGAAUAAGCACCGGCUAACUUCGUG